GAUGAACGCUAGCGGGAGGCCUAACACAUGCAAGCCGAGCGGGAUUUGAGACUAGCUUGCUAGUCUUAAUGAGAGCGGCGUACGGGUGCGGAACACGUGCGCAACCUGCCUUUAUCUGGGAGAUAGCCUUUCGAAAGGAAGAUUAAUAUCCCAUAACAUAAUGAUUGGCAUCAAUUAUUAUUGAAAGCUCCGGCGGAUAGAGAUGGGCACGCGCAAGAUUAGAUAGUUGGUGAGGUAACGGCUCACCAAGUCGAUGAUCUUUAGGGGGCCUGAGAGGGUGAGCCCCCACACUGGUACUGAGACACGGACCAGACUCCUACGGGAGGCAGCAGUGAGGAAUAUUGGACAAUGGGUGAAAGCCUGAUCCAGCCAUCCCGCGUGAAGGAUUAAGGACCUAUGGUUUGUAAACUUCUUUUCUACAGGGAUAAACCUACUCUCGUGAGAGUAGCUGAAGGUACUGUAGGAAUAAGCACCGGCUAACUCCGUGCCAGCAGCCGCGGUAAGAC
rnacentral:rRNA from 1 species